AAUGCGUAGAGAUGUGGAGGAAUACCGGUGGCGAAGGCGGCCCCCUGGACAAAGACUGACGCUCAGGUGCGAAAGCGUGGGGAGCAAACAGGAUUAGAUACCCUGGUAGUCCACGCUGUAAACGAUGUCGAUUUAGAGGUUGUGGUCUUGAACCGUGGCUUCUGGAGCUAACGCGUUAAAUCGACCGCCUGGGGAGUACGGCCGCAAGGUUAAAACUCAAAUGAAUUGACGGGGGCCCGCACAAGCGGUGGAGCAUGUGGUUUAAUUCGAUGCAACGCGAAGAACCUUACCUACUCUUGACAUCCAGCGAAUCCUUUAGAGAUAGAGGAGUGCCUUCGGGAACGCUGAGACAGGUGCUGCAUGGCUGUCGUCAGCUCGUGUUGUGAAAUGUUGGGUUAAGUCCCGCAACGAGCGCAACCCU
rnacentral:rRNA from 1 species